rnacentral:rRNA from 1 species
CUAGGAAUCUUGGGAAUGGGCGAAAGCCUGACCCAGCAACGCCGCGUGGGCGAUGAAGGCCUUCGGGUCGUAAAGCCCUUUUGCAGGGGACGAUGAUGACGGUACCCUGCGAAUAAGCCACGGCUAACUACGUGCCAGCAGCCGCGGUAAUACGUAGGUGGCAAGCGUUGUCCGGAUUUACUGGGCGUAAAGGGCGUGCAGGCGGUUUGUUAAGUGCAGGGUGAAAGCUCCCGGCUCAACUGGGAGAGGUCCUUGCAUACUGGCAAACUCGAGGGAGGCAGAGGAAAGUGGAAUUCCCGGUGUAGUGGUGAUAUGCGUAGAUAUCGGGAGGAACACCUGUGGCGAAGGCGGCUUUCUGGGCCUUACCUGACGCUGAGACGCGAAAGCGUGGGGAGCGAACCGGAUUAGAUACCCGCGUAGUCC